UCUCCGUUGGUGAACCAGCGGAGGGAUCAUUACAGGUCUCGCAAGAAUGCUACAACCCUGUGCACUUAACUAUUAGCACGUUGCUUCGGCGGGUGUCUCGGAGGGGGAUCUACCUCCCCGAAACGCUAAACCCGCCGGCCGUCUACUAUAAUCUGUCUCGUUUCGCUGGCAUAUCGAGUACAUUCAAACAACGUAAAACUUUCAACAAGCGACCUCUUGGUUCGGGCAUCACUGGAGAACGCAGCAGAUCGAAACAGCACACGACUGAACUCCAGUCAC
rnacentral:misc_RNA from 1 species